ACUGAGCAUCAGCUGGCCCAAGACCCGCAGCAACACUACACAGCAGAGGAGCUACAACAACACAAACUCUCGGGCAAGACCUACCAAGACCUCUACUUUCUCUACUUUAUUGACGAGUUGCUAACUCAAGACCAAUAUUUGAAAAUGCCAGCUUACAUGGACAUCGCUCUUCAGGACAUCAUGAACGUGAAGGAUCAGCAUAUUAGUGUAAACUCUCUCUGUUGGAGAGGAAGUGCAGCAGUGGUGUGGAGAAACUGAAGAUAGCUAUUAUAGAACAUCUCCAGAAUAGGAUCCCUACAUCUCCUAUAUCUCCUAUUUUGGCGAAGACUGUGUCUUUUUUCACUCAGAAGAAGACCUUGCUG
rnacentral:lncRNA from 1 species